rnacentral:tRNA from 1 species
GGGGAGGUACUCAAGUUUGGUUGAAGAGGAUUGAUUGCUAAUCAAUUAGGUCGAGAAAUCGGUGCAAGAGUUCAAAUCUCUUCCUCCCCG